GGGAACUACCUAUAUUGGAAAAUUUGCUUCUAAUUUAUAUAUGUAAUUUUUUUAUUGCUGUCUUUUUGCAGUAGUUUAUUUUUAAAAGUUGUUUUUUUCUUCUUCUAGAUCUUUGGGUUUUUUUCUGUAGCAGCAGUAAAAGCUCUUGGCUUGGAAGAAUCUGCAGGACACUACAAGAGUUUGAUGAUAACAUCUACCUACAACUGGUAUAUUUGAUUUUCAACAAAGUUUCAAACAUUACCUUAAGAGUCUGGAGAAAAACUGCAACAACAGAUAAUUAACCAGGAUU
rnacentral:lncRNA from 1 species